AGAGUUUGAUCCUGGCUCAGAUUGAACGCUGGCGGCAUGCUUUACACAUGCAAGUCGAACGGCAGCACGGACUUCGGUCUGGUGGCGAGUGGCGAACGGGUGAGUAAUACAUCGGAACGUACCCAGUAAUGGGGGAUAACUAGUCGAAAGAUUAGCUAAUACCGCAUACGCCCUACGGGGGAAAGAGGGGGAUCGCAAGACCUCUUGUUAUUGGAGCGGCCGAUGGCUGAUUAGCUA
rnacentral:rRNA from 1 species